UACGUAGGGGGCAAGCGUUGUCCGGAUUUAUUGGGCGUAAAGAGCGUGUAGGCGGCUAGGUAGGUCCGUUGUGAAAACUCGAGGCUCAACCUCGAGCUGUCGAUGGAAACCAUCUGGCUAGAGUCCGGAAGAGGAGAGUGGAAUUCCUGGUGUAGCGGUGAAAUGCGCAGAUAUCAGGAGAACACCCGUGGCGAAGGCGGCUCUCUGGUACGUGACUGACGCUGAGACGCGAAAGCGUGGGGAGCGAACAGG
rnacentral:rRNA from 1 species